CAACGCCGCGUGGAGGAAGAAGGCCUUCGGGUCGUAAACUCCUUUUCUCACUGACGAGGAAGGACGGUAGGUGAGGAAUAAGUCACGGCUAACUACGUGC
rnacentral:rRNA from 1 species